UAUGGCAAGGCAGCUUAGAGGCGGGUAGGAAAAUCCAAGAGAGACAGGAAAGAGAAAGGCAGAGUCUGGAGAGACACAGCCUGCCGUCCAAGUAGUAACAUGCCAGCAGAUCGGUAAAGCCAGGGAACGUGGCAAAACAUAAAUUAAUAGAAAUGGGUUGAUUUGGGGCUGGAGAGAUGGUUCAGAGGUUAAGAGCACUAGGUGCUUAGACUUGUGUGUCUUGGCUAUAAUCUUUCGGAGGUUUUUUUAUUCUCCGAGGUCACCCCAACCGAAAUUUAAACUUAAGUUUUUAUGUGUUUAGUCCAGUAGGUGUGUUGAUUUAAAAUGUUAAGUUGAUCAGAAGAGCACU